GGGUCAGGAGGUUGGUCGUGCCACCGGUACGUACUGGUCUCACUGAUUACUCCUUCCUGAAGAACCGUAAUGCCAUUAAUUUGGUGUUGCGGGGAAACAGGACUGUUACUUUGAAAAAAUUAGAGUGUUUAAAGCAAGCUAACGCUUGAAUACAUUAGCAUGGAAUAAUGAAAUAGGACGAUCGAUCCUAUUUUGUUGGUUUCUAGGAUUGACGUA
rnacentral:rRNA from 1 species